CCGCUCCGCUCCGCUCCGCUGCGCCCCGCCGAGCGCCGGGCCGGGGGCUGCGCUGAAGCUCGGGCCGACCCUCCUCGCUGCUGGUUCCUGUUCGCUUUCGUUAAUAGCCACUGAGUCGCUCUUCAUACACGCCCGAGAAAUAGAUUGUGGAAAAUUGAGGAGAAUAUUUGAGAUAAAGAAAUCGAGGGAAGCUUGAUGUUCCCGAGGGAAUGCUGUAGGGAUCUGCAGCUUCUGAAGUGCACCAGUAAUUGCAGCUCCCAGAGGAUCCUUCCAGAGCUGGAAGGGACAGGGAAGACAAUUCCAGGAGCAGUGGGAAGUGCUUUCUUUGGGGUCUAGAUGGCAUUGAGGUUGGAACGAGUUCCCAGUAUUUCUUGUGCCUCUUCUGUUUCUAGCCCGGGACUAGGUUGGUGUUCCCUAAGUGGCUGCAGUUCCCUGAAGGUGGGAGGAAGCCUGUGCUGGAGAGUGGGAGAAAGGUUCCUGCUGAUUGCUGUGUCCUCAGUGGGCAGAGUUCUCUGACCUUGGCCAGAUGGGCUGGUGAAUAUUGAAUCAGUCCUGCCUCCUUUUGGCUGAGUUGUUUAAUUGAGUCAUCAGCAGGGACUGCUUUUAGCUGGCUUUUGUUCAGUUUCUUUUUUACAGGUUUCUUGUUGCUUUGGUCGUGACAUUGCCAAACCCUUAAGUUUGCUAAAUGAACCCUGAAAAGGUUAAACAAACCAAUCCUGAGGGAAUUGGGGAUUGACUAGUUGGGAUCUUAUGGCCCUUCGAGGCCACGUUGGAUUUACCCCAAUUUUGGUGCCAAGGGAAACUCCAAGUUAAGACUGAUCAAAAUAUGAACCAGUUCUCAUCAAACUCAGCUUUCCAAACAUUGAAUUAGGAUCAGAAAUGAUGGGAAUGCCCUUGGCAGAAAAGCACCUGUGAAGCAAAGCAGACUUAAAACACCUGUGAGCAGGAAAUCCAAGAGAAAUGGCUGCUGGCUCCUGGCAUCCUGGGCAACCUUCAGGUGGGAGGAGCCUUCUGAGAUCACAGUGCCCAGUGCCAAGGCCGCCGCUGUCCCCUGUCCCUGAGUGCCACGUCCGCACGGCUUUCGAUCCCUGUGGGGAUGGGGCAUCCACCACUGCCCUGGGUAGCUAUGCCAGGCCUGGACAGCCUUUCCACAAUGAGACUUCCCCUACAUCCAGCCUUUCUUUCCCCUGGGAUCACGUGAGGCCAUUUCCUUGCCCUGGGUCUCACAGUGGUUGCCCUGAGCAGCCAUGACCCCAACAUGAGAGCGGCUGCAUAUUUUGUCCUUUCAUUCAUUUCAUUUUGUCUUUUCAUUCUCAUCUGGAAGGGGCUCGCUUUCGAGAGAAGAGCCAGUUGCUGUAUCUCUUGGAUGCUGUGCAGAAUGGAAUCAAGCAGCCAAACCUCAGGGUCACCUUCUCCCUGACCCUCUACAUUGCUCGUGUGGCACAGCAGAUGCUGAAGCCAGGUACGGAAACUUCCUGCAUGUGUCACUGCUGGGGUGGAAAACGGAGCCUUGGGGAAUGUUGAUCUCCUCAGCUGCUCUGUGCUCAUGCACUCUUGACUGAGCUUUUCAUUCUGGGGAAGAGAAGGGGAAGGAUGGCCAACAAUGUAAUGAGCCUCAGAGCAAAGGCCUUCUGCAGUUCCUGGGCUGUUCUCCCAGCUUGGAGCUCUGCGCAGUGCAGCUUCCAUUUAUUGCUGUCCCUGGUUGUGGACUGGGAACAUUGUCCUCCUCCACGGUGCCAGCUUUUUCUCUUCACAGAGGAGCACAUGUACAUAAAGGUAAACAGAUUCCUUCUGUCACACCAGUAUUUGGACCUGAGGAAAGUACCAGAUUUUUUCCAGCUUUUCUACAGUUUUGAUUUUGAGUACAAAACAGAGCAAGAGUGGAUCCUCAGAUUUCUUGGGGAGGGGCUGCGUGACAAACAUUGCUAUGAGCUUUAUGACUACC